CCAAUAGCGUAUAUUAAAGUUGUUGCAGUUAAAAAGCUCGUAGUUGAAUUUCGGGAUCGACGGGUCGGUCGCGCCUCUGGUGUGUACUGGCCCUGUCGGCUUCUCCCUUCUGACGACCCACGAUGUCAUUAAUUUGGUGUCGUGGGAAAUCAGGACUGUUACUUUGAAAAAAUUAGAGUGUUUAAAGCAGGCAUUCGCUUGAAUACAUUAGCAUGGAAUAAUGAAAUAGGACGUUUGAUUCUAUUUUGUUUGUUUCUAGGAUCGACGUAAUGAUUAAUAGGGAUAGUUGGGGGCAUUAGUAUUCAAUUGUCAGAGGUGAAAUUCUUGGAUUUAUUGAAGACUAACUACUGCGAAAGCAUUUGCCAAGGAUGUUUUCAUUAAUCAAGAACGAAAGUUAGGGGAUCGAAGACGAUCAGAUACCGUCGUAGUCUUAACCAUAAACUAUGCCGACUAGGGAUCGGAUGAUGUUAAUUUUUUAAUGACUCAUUCGGCGCCUUACG
rnacentral:rRNA from 1 species